GCGGACCUGGUGGCAAUGGCUAUGGCCCCCCCUCAUCCUCUUCAACCUGCCCGUUCUUCCUUGCGUGCUCCUCCCCCGUUCUCUCGAUUCAGCCGCCGUGCUCUCCUUCACGCAGACGCUGUGUGUGCUGCUGCUGCGGCGCCCCACCGACUGUUCGUUUUUUCAUCUCUUAUAGUUGGCAUUGCUGUCGGAGCGAGAGGAGCCGCUUCCGGGGGAACUAGCGCUGAUGAUCUCUAUCCAUUAUUUGACCGCUAUGGCAAGGUGGUGGACAUUUUUAUUCCCAGAGAUCGUCGUACUGGAGAAUCUCGUGGUUUUGCGUUUGUGCGGUACAAAUAUUCGGACGAGGCACAAAAAGCGAUUGAGCGUUUGGAUGGCCGGGCCGUCGAUGGAAGAAACAUUGUGGUGCAGAGUGCCAAGUACGGUCGAAAUGAUGAGCCAAUUCAUCGAGGAAGGAUCACAGACACCACUGUGAAGAAGGGUAACAGAUCCAGAAGUCAUAGCCCAAGACGCUCAAGUCGAGAUCGGAGAUACAGACAGGAUGAUCGGCAUAUGAAGGACACACACCAUCAUAGUCACAGCCGAGAUCGUAAUGAAAGGGAGAGUUAUAGAGGUGGCGAUCGUGAUGAUAGGUACCGGGGCGAAGAGCGGGAUAGAGAAAGGGGUCGUGACAGUAGGCGUCGCAGCGCUUCUCGUAGCAUUAGUCGCAGUCGUAGCCACAGUCGAGGUCGCGCGGAUAGGGACGUAAAGCGAUCGUCUCGCAGCGAAUCUGAUAAACCGAACGAUUCACCUGGUGCUAGUGACAGCCCAAGCAGAGGACGUGGUUCAGGAAGGAUACAGCGUAGGAGUCCUGAAAGGAACAGGUCUGUUAGUCGCAGUCCCAGCCGAAGCUUGAGUCGCAGCCCUCAAAAGCGGUCAGAAAUCGAAGAGCCUAUGAAGGAAGCGGAUGCAAGGACUCAGAAUAUGUCUUCCAUGGAUCCUUCCAGGGGUAGUGAAUCUCCUGAUCACAAAGCUUCUCCUCCUCGCCAAGUGUCGGCUUCACCAGGAGUUCGAAGUCGCUCACCAUCACCAAUUCAGGGUAGCAUGUCUCCGGAGCAGCGUCGCCCCAGUCGUUCACCUGAUGUUCCUCGCAGUGUUUCGCCAGUUCAGUCUGAUGGAGCUUGAUGACAAGAUCGUUGAGCGCUGCUGCAUUGGUUUCGGAUUACCUGAGUUUAAUUUAAAGUUACAGUGGUAUACAGAGGUCAAGCACUUGGGAAGUGAUGGAGUGAUUAGAGUUGGCUAUGCAUGACAAGCAGCUGACUGAGGAGUGCAGACUGUGAGAGGGAGUAGCAACUUUAAGUUUCGCCGUUGUGGAUUUGUUUGGCUGGUUAGUUUGUCGACCUGGUUCAUAUGCUUUUCUCAGUAUGCACUAGUGAACAUAGUAAAAGAGUGUUUUGGAUAGGAAUCUGGCAUUGUUGGACAUAAAUUAGACAAACUUACAUUUCCAGCAUCAAAUUAUGGCAACAUUUUCACUUGUGUUUCAAAGACUUGGAAGUGAUGUUAGAGUGAAACUAGCUUCUAUUUUUCUAUUCUAAAGAAAGUUUAGGCGACUAAAUUUAUAAGAGACAUCAAGGUCAGGAAUAUCGGCAGAUUCCGUGAUACAAUGUCUGACGCGGUAAGGUUUGAUUUGUUCACAUUCUCUCGAUACUGUGGUAGUGCGAGUGGGGUCGUGGGAUUACGCCAUAUUUCUGGUGUGGCACCUGAGCUGUGUUGGCUGGUGGCUGCUGAUCUUGGGACUGCUGCGCUGCCUGCUGCUGGUUUUUUGGGAGUUACUUGGGGCGGUGAAUUUGCAGUAAAGUUGAUCUUUGCUCAUAAUGCUGGUCAGCUUCUUCUAUUAUUGUGCCAAUUCGCUGGAAGUUCCCGUCCUAUUUUUCCCUCCUAGGUGGGACGCAGCCGCAGGAGUAAAGUGGGGCAUCAUUAAGCGGUUCUGUGCAGCCUUACCGAUUCGUUUCAGUAAGUAUAGUACGUGAAUGUAUCUGACCGAUUGUCGUGGGAAUCAUAUCUUACUGGAACAAUGGAGGGAUGGAGCAGUUUUUUGGAGGUAUGCACUUUGUUUUAGUUGUUUGCUUUGCUUAACCCUUUUGCGUAAAGAAUAUCUACCCAAGGCUGUUGCACAGUUUGGUUCUGGAUUGCUUUAGUGUUAAUCUAGGAACUUCCUAGAGACAACUUUUUUGGUAUAAUCGCUAUAUAGAGGCUUUUAGAAUGCUGUUUGUUACAGGUUUAUCUUUGUAAACGGCCGGCUAUGGCGUUUCGACCUGUAAGAGUAGGGAAUGGGCGAGGAUCUCUGGAUAUUAUACUUGAAGAAACGGGAAGGUAUUCAUUUGCAGUCAUGGGCAGUGCCAAGAGUACCGUUUUGAUUCAUGUGUGGAGUGACCACAUCAGAUCCUAUGGUAAGAGCUUUGCGCAGUCUAAAAUCUGACGAUUUUACCUUAUCUUGGAAGGCGAGUUGCUGCCGUCCGGUGCGCAUCCGAGUGAGUUAUUAGUCUACGUUGGUAUGAUUUAGCAAUGUAUUUAGGCUUCCUAAUGAGAAAUUUGUAAAUUACAUGGUUACACAUUUGCUUAUAGAUUAAAUUUAAAUAGAUGUUAUUUUCUUAUGCGUUAUAAAUAUUUAUGCUGUUAAGUAUA